rnacentral:rRNA from 1 species
UACAGAGGGGGCAAGCGUUGUUCGGAAUUACUGGGCGUAAAGGGCGCGUAGGCGGCCUUCUAAGUCGAACGUGAAAUCCCCGGGCUCAACCCGAGAACUGCGUCCGAUACUGGAAGGCUUGAAUCCGGGAGAGGGAUGCGGAAUUCCAGGUGUAGCGGUGAAAUGCGUAGAUAUCAGGAAGAACACCCGUGGCGAAGGCGGCUCUCUGGGACGUGACUGACGCUGAGACGCGAAGGCGUGGGGAGCGAUCAGG